UACAGAGGUCUCAAGCGUUGUUCGGAUUCAUUGGGCGUAAAGGGUGCGUAGGCGGCGCGGUAAGUCGGGUGUGAAAUCUCGGAGCUUAACUCCGAAACUGCAUUCGAUACUGCCGUGCUUGAGGACUGGAGAGGAGAAUGGAAUUCCCGGUGUAGCGGUGAAAUGCGCAGAUAUCGGGAAGAACACCCGUGGCGAAGGCGGUUCUCUGGGACGGUACUGACGCUGAGACGCGAAAGCGUGGGGAGCGAACAGG
rnacentral:rRNA from 1 species